rnacentral:lncRNA from 1 species
AAGCACAUGCUUCUUCUUCCUUGGUGUACCGGGCUUUCAAACUACGCGGUCUAAGGCAUCCUGAUCUCGCUUCCAAAAGUAAUGAGCUUCCCUUUGUGUUAUCUAUAAUUUUAUUUUUUCCUGAAAUAU